rnacentral:rRNA from 1 species
GCUUGUCUCAAAGAUUAAGCCAUGCAUGUCUAAGUAUAAGCAACUUGUACUGUGAAACUGCGAAUGGCUCAUUAAAUCAGUUAUCGUUUAUUUGAUAGUACCUUACUACAUGGAUACCUGUGGUAAUUCUAGAGCUAAUACAUGCUAAAAACCCCGACUUCAGGAAGGGGUGUAUUUAUUAGAUAAAAAACCAACGCCCUUCGGGGCUCCUUGGUGAAUCAUAAUAACUUAACGAAUCGCAUGGCCUUGCGCCGGCGAUGGUUCAUUCAAAUUUCUGCCCUAUCAACUGUCGACUGUGAUAUAGACGCUCACAGUGGUUUUGACGGGUAACGGGGAAUCAGGGUUCGAUUCCGGAGAGGGAGCCUUAAAAACGGCUACCACAUCCAAGGAAGGCAGCAGG